rnacentral:misc_RNA from 1 species
CACGGCAAACGAACCUUAGUUCUGACCACGAUCGAGCACGAGCUGUUUCGCGAUUCUUCGUCCCGAGUUCUUUCAUCGACGACCAAAAGAGCACGUCCGACCAAAGAAACCAGGAUGCGCUUCCAUUCUUUACGCCUUUUUUCGGGCCGGCGAGAACGACUUUCCGUGAACAACGAUAGCCACCGUUUACUUUCGUCUAACGAACGGUUAAGUUUCUCCGAUUCUGGCGCAAAAAUCCACGCAACACCGC